UAAGGAAUAUUGGUCAAUGGACGCAAGUCUGAACCAGCCAUGCCGCGUGAAGGAUGAAGGUCCUCUGGAUUGUAAACUUCUUUUAUCUGGGACGAAAACGGGAUUUUUAUCUCAAUUGACGGUACCAGAGGAAUAAGCACCGGCUAACUCCGUGCCAGCAGCCGCGGUAAUACGGAGGGUGCGAGCGUUAUCCGGAUUUACUGGGUUUUAAGGGUGCGUAGGUGGGCUUAUAAGUCAGUGGUGAAAUCUCCGAGCUUAACUUGGAAACUGCCGUUGAUACUAUAGGUCUUGAAUUAUCUGGAGGUCAGCGGAAUAUGUCAUGUAGCGGUGAAAUGCUUAGAUAUGACAUAGAACACCAAUUGCGAAGGCAGCUUACUACAUAUAAAUUGACGCUGAGGCACGAAAGCGUGGGGA
rnacentral:rRNA from 1 species